AGAGUUUGAUCCUGGCUCAGGACGAACGCUGGCGGCGCGCCUAACACAUGCAAGUCGAACGAGCGAGAGAGAGCUUGCUUUCUUGAGCGAGUGGCGAACGGGUGAGUAACGCGUGAGGAACCUGCCUCAAAGAGGGGGACAACAGUUGGAAACGACUGCUAAUACCGCAUAAGCCCACGGCUCGGCAUCGAGCAGAGGGAAAAGGAGCAAUCCGCUUUGAGAUGGCCUCGCGUCCGAUUAGCUAGUUGGUGAGGUAACGGCCCACCAAGGCGACGAUCGGUAGCCGGACUGAGAGGUUGAACGGCCACAUUGGGACUGAGACACGGCCUAGACUCCUACGGGAGGCAGCAGUGGGGAAUAUUGCACAAUGGGGGAAACCCUGAUGCAGCGACGCCGCGUGGAGGAAGAAGGUCUUCGGAUUGUAAGCUCCUGUUGUUGAGGAAGAUAAUGACGGUACUCAACAAGGAAGUGACGGCUAACUACGUGCCAGCAGCCGCGAUAAAACGUAGGUCACAAGCGUUGUCCGGAAUUACUGGGUGUAAAGGGAGCGCAGGCGGGAAGACAAGUUGGAAGUGAAAUCCAUGGGCUCAACCCAUGAACUGCUUUCAAAACUGUUUUUCUUGAGUAGUGCAGAGGUAGGCGGAAUUCCCGGUGUAGCGGUGGAAUGCGUAGAUAUCGGGAGGAACACCAGUGGCGAAGGCGGCCUACUGGGCACCAACUGACGCUGAGGCUCGAAAGUGUGGGUAGCAAACAGGAUUAGAUACCCUGGUAGUCCACACUGUAAACGAUGAUUACUAGGUGUUGGAGGAUUGACCCCUUCAGUGCCGCAGUUAACACAAUAAGUAAUCCACCUGGGGAGUACGACCGCAAGGUUGAAACUCAAAGGAAUUGACGGGGGCCCGCACAAGCAGUGGAGUAUGUGGUUUAAUUCGACGCAACGCGAAGAACCUUACCAAGUCUUGACAUCCCUUGACGAUGCUGGAAACAGUAUUUCUCUUCGGAGCAAGGAGACAGGUGGUGCAUGGUUGUCGUCAGCUCGUGUCGUGAGAUGUUGGGUUAAGUCCCGCAACGAGCGCAACCCUUACGGUCAGUUGCUACAUUGAGUUGAGCACUCUGGCUGGACUGCCGUUGACAAAACGGAGGAAGGUGGGGAUGACGUCAAAUCAUCAUGCCCCUUACGUUCUGGGCUACACACGUACUACAAUGGCGAAAACAAAGGGCAGCGAAACCGCGAGGUGGAGCCAAUCCCAUAAAAAUCGUCUCAGUUCGGACUGCAGGCUGCAACCCGCCUGCACGAAGCUGGAAUUGCUAGUAAUCGCGGGUCAGCAUACCGCGGUGAAUACGUUCCCGGGUCUUGUACACACCGCCCGUCAAGCCAUGAAAGUUGAAAACACCCAAAGCCAGUGGGCUAACCGCAAGGAGGCAGC
rnacentral:rRNA from 1 species